rnacentral:rRNA from 1 species
CGCUGGCGGCGUGCUUAACACAUGCAAGUCGAACGGAACUCUUCGGACCAAGGCUUCGGCCAAGUGAAUUUGAGUUUAGUGGCGGACGGGUGAGUAACGCGUGAGGAACCUGCCUUUCAGAGGGGGACAACAGUUGGAAACGACUGCUAAUACCGCAUAACGUAUAGAGAUCGCAUGGUCUUUAUACCAAAGAUUUAUCGCUGAAAGAUGGCCUCGCGUCUGAUUAGCUAGUUGGUGAGGUAACGGCCCACCAAGGCGACGAUCAGUAGCCGGACUGAGAGGUUGACCGGCCACAUUGGGACUGAGAUACGGCCCAGACUCCUACGGGAGGCAGCAGUGGGGAAUAUUGGGCAAUGGGCGCAAGCCUGACCCAGCAACGCCGCGUGAAGGAAGAAGGCUUUCGGGUUGUAAACUUCUUUUGUCAGGGAAGAGUAGAAGACUGUACCUGGCGAAUAAGCCACGGCUAACUACGUG